GGUUAAGCGACUAAGCGUACACGGUGGAUGCCCUGGCAGUCAGAGGCGAUGAAGGACGUGCUAAUCUGCGAUAAGCGUCGGUAAGGUGAUAUGAACCGUUAUAACCGGCGAUUUCCGAAUGGGGAAACCCAGUGUGUUUCGACACACUAUCAUUAACUGAAUCCAU
rnacentral:rRNA from 1 species